AGUGAACGCUGGCGGUAGGCCUAACACAUGCAAGUCGAACGGCAGCACAGUAAGAGCUUGCUCUUACGGGUGGCGAGUGGCGGACGGGUGAGGAAUACAUCGGAAUCUACUUUUUCGUGGGGGAUAACGUAGGGAAACUUACGCUAAUACCGCAUACGACCUACGGGUGAAAGCAGGGGAUCUUCGGACCUUGCGCGAUUGAAUGAGCCGAUGUCGGAUUAGCUAGUUGGCGGGGUAAAGGCCCGCCAAGGCGACGAUCCGUAGCUGGUCUGAGAGGAUGAUCAGCCACACUGGAACUGAGACACGGUCCAGACUCCUGCGGGAGGCAGCAGUGGGGAAUAUUGGACAAUGGGCGCAAGCCUGAUCCAGCCAUACCGCGUGGGUGAAGAAGGCCUUCGGGUUGUAAAGCCCUUUUGUUGGGAAAGAAAAGCAGCAGGUUAAUACCCCGCUGUUCUGACGGUACCCAAAGAAUAAGCGCCGGCUAACUUCGUG
rnacentral:rRNA from 1 species